rnacentral:rRNA from 1 species
CUCAGCGACGGACCGGGCCCAAGUCCCCUAGAAAGGGGCGUCUGGGAGGGUGAGAGCCCCAUCCGGCCCGGACCCUGUCGCCCCACGAGGCGCCGUCAACGAGUCGGGUUGUUUGGGAAUGCAGCCCUAAUCGGGCGGUAGACUCCGUCCAAGGCUAAAUACAGGCGAGAGACCGAUAGCGAACAAGUACCGCGAGGGAAAGAUGAAAAGGACUUUGAAAAGAGAGUCAAAGAGUGCUUGAAAUUGCCGGGAGGGAAGCGGAUGGGGGCCGGCGAUGCGCCCCGGCCGUAUGCGGAACGGCUCUUGCUGGUCCGCCGCUCGGCUCGGGGUGUGGACUGUUGUCGGCCGCGCCGGCGGCCAAAGCCCGGGGGCCCUAGGUGCCCCCGGUGGCCGUCGUC